rnacentral:RNase_P_RNA from 1 species
GAAGCCCACCAGACCGCCGCUGGUGCAAGUGCCGAAAGGCCGCACUGGAGGAACGUCCGGACUGCAAAGGGCAGCGUAGCAGCUAACGGCUGUCCACCGUGAGGUGAGGAUCAGAGCAACAGAGACGAGUCGAGACGGGUAGCAAGCCACCGACGGUGUUCUAUCGGUCGCCCGCGCAAGCGGGCCAGGCUGGCGCAAGCCAGACGGUUUGCGGCGUAAGCCGCAAAGACCAUAGCCACCCGAAGCGGGCGGCGCCCGCUUCGGGUGAAACGGGCAAUCUCUACGCGCAGCAACACCAAGUAGGCACACGCUGAGCGGCGCAGUUCGCUGCGGUGUUCUCCCCGGGGCCCCCGGGUCGUGUGCGGGUAGGUGGCAUCGAGCCGGUGGGGCGACCCCCGGCCCAGAGUAAUGGCGGUCACGCGCGGGCAACCGCGUGCACAGAAUCCGGCUUAUCGGUGGGCUUCACAC